rnacentral:rRNA from 1 species
UACGUAGGCAGCAAGCGUUGUUCGGAGUUACUGGGCGUAAAGGGUGCGUAGGCGGUCCUAUAAGUAUGGUGUGAAAUCUCCCGGCUUAACUGGGAGGGUGCGCUAUAGACUGUGGGACUAGAGUGUGGGAGAGGAAAGUGGAAUUCCUGGUGUAGCGGUGAAAUGCGUAGAUAUCAGGAGGAACACCGGUGGUGUAAACGGCUUUCUGGACCAUAACUGACGCUGAGGCGCGAAGGCUAGGGGAGCGAACGGG